GUAACACGUGGGAAACCUGCCCAGAAGCGGGGGAUAACACCUGGAAACAGAUGCUAAUACCGCAUAACAACUUGGACCGCAUGGUCCGAGUUUGAAAGAUGGCUUCGGCUAUCACUUUUGGAUGGUCCCGCGGCGUAUUAGCUAGAUGGUGGGGUAACGGCUCACCAUGGCAAUGAUACGUAGCCGACCUGAGAGGGUAAUCGGCCACAUUGGGACUGAGACACGGCCCAAACUCCUACGGGAGGCAGCAGUAGGGAAUCUUCCACAAUGGACGAAAGUCUGAUGGAGCAACGCCGCGUGAGUGAAGAAGGGUUUCGGCUCGUAAAACUCUGUUGUUAAAGAAGAACAUAUCUGAGAGUAACUGUUCAGGUAUUGACGGUAUUUAACCAGAAAGCCACGGCUAACUACGUGCCAGCAGCCGCGGUAAUACGUAGGUGGCAAGCGUUGUCCGGAUUUAUUGGGCGUAAAGCGAGCGCAGGCGGUUUUUUAAGUCUGAUGUGAAAGCCUUCGGCUCAACCGAAGAAGUGCAUCGGAAACUGGGAAACUUGAGUGCAGAAGAGGACAGUGGAACUCCAUGUGUAGCGGUGAAAUGCGUAGAUAUAUGGAAGAACACCAGUGGCGAAGGCGGCUGUCUGGUCUGUAACUGACGCUGAGGCUCGAAAGUAUGGGUAGCAAACAGGAUUAGAUACCCUGGUAGUC
rnacentral:rRNA from 1 species